GGAGAGAUUAAAUGUCCAGCAAACGACGGCAAUGUUGCCAGAUUCCCUUUAGCGGGAAUUUUAAAAUUUUAUAGCAGUUUGGUUUUAAAUUUGACAGUUCUGUUUUGUCAAGUCAAAAAUCUUAACCUUACUUUUACAAGUGAUUAGGAUUAUUAUUUUAUUUACAUAUAAAUUGAAACAAUAAAUAUUGUGCUGUGUCAUAAUUUAAAACUCAUUAUGUUGCAGUCUUUUCCAGUUGAUAAAAUUGCAAUUCAAAAACUUUUAGAUUUGCACUAGAUUGGCACAGAAAGAGAACAGUACAAGAACAUGAAACAUCUUAUUAUGAAUGUAUAUGUAAGUGAUCCUCAAAAAAUUAUUUUACAAAACAAGAUAGAGAAAGAGCUUUAAAAUCCCAAGGAUCCUGCAAAAUGUUUAUUUGGUGUACUAGUCGAAUAAUAGUAUCUAAAAAUAUUGAAACUAUUUUAAAACAUAUUACGGACAGGAGGAUGAUAUAGAGCACUUACAUAAAUACCAAAAUCAGAUAAAUAUCUCUUCAAAGUUUAUUUUGAGACUUUCUUCAAAAAUUAAACUUCAGACUGUUCAGGAUAGCAUAAUAGCAUAGGAGGCGAAUUAAAAAGAAUUAAUUUACUUACAAGUAAAGAUAUCACAAACAUUAAACUAUCUUAUGGCAUUGAUUUGAAAGAUGGGUAUAUGUACAAUGAUGAUGCAACCAGUGUUUAUUUUUGGGUUGAAUGCUUACAGACUCAUGUCCAAUAUUAUUUUACAAACAACAGGGCAUACUAAUGGAUAUUCAUUCUGAAUUUAACAUUUAUGAUUUUUGUCUUAUUUUCCUUAAUACUGUGCCAAAAGGAAAUGUUAAUUAAGUGUGGUAAAUCCUUUAUCGCAAUCGAUGGAACUCAUAGGCUCAAUUCCUAUGACUUUGAACUUAUGACAGUAUUAGUAAAAGAUGAAUUUGGGAAUGGAUUUUGUACUGCUUUCUUAUUUUCAAAUAGAAAAGAUACCUACUUUAAUUUACCGAUUUUUUAAAUACAUGUCUGUGUUGGUAUUAUAUGUAUAGUCAAAUGUUUUCAUAUCAGGCAUAAGCGACACCUUUUACAAUGCCUCGUCAAAUGUAAUGGGUAUUGCUCCUAAUAGACUGUUAAGUGCCUGGCACAUAGAUAGGGCAUGGUAAGUAAAUCUUAAUAAAAUAUCUGAUUCUGAAAAAAAUCCUAUUAUGUAUACAAGAUGUAUUAAUGAUGGUUUAGAGAGUAUUAAUAGCUUUUUGGGUAGACUUCUAAGUGAUGCAGAUACAUACAAUUUUAGUAAGUAUUUCCAGUAGAACUAGUGCAAUAACAUCCAACAAUGGGCCUAUUGUUAUAGGAAGGGGUUGUGGAAUUAAUACCAAUAUGACCAUUCAAAAUUUUCAUAAAAUUUUGGAUAAAAGUGGAAAACUUCGCACU